GCACGGAGGGACAAGACCACCACCUCUGUCUGGAGCUGGGCCAAGCUGCCAUUCCGCAUCCCUUCCAGCCUUUCGAGCCGCCAUUUCCCAAAGUUCUGGUACAAGAGGAGCCGAGCCAUACUUACUUUCUGCGCCUGACUUACUUCCCUUAGCAUCGUGGUCUCAGGUCCUCUUUGUGGCCCCAACAUCUGGCAAAUCCAAGACUUUCCUCUGGCUCUCUCCUUCAGC